rnacentral:rRNA from 1 species
AGAGUUUGAUCCUGGCUCAGGACGAACGCUGGCGGCGUGCUUAACACAUGCAAGUCGAACGGAAAGGCCCUUCGGGGUACUCGAGUGGCGAACGGGUGAGUAACACGUGGGUGAUCUGCCCUGCACUUUGGGAUAAGCCUGGGAAACUGGGUCUAAUACCGAAUAUGACCACGCUCUUCAUGGGGUGUGGUGGAAAGCUUUUGCGGUGUGGGAUGGGCCCGCGGCCUAUCAGCUUGUUGGUGGGGUAAUGGCCUACCAAGGCGACGACGGGUAGCCGGCCUGAGAGGGUGACCGGCCACACUGGGACUGAGAUACGGCCCAGACUCCUACGGGAGGCAGCAGUGGGGAAUAUUGCACAAUGGGCGCAAGCCUGAUGCAGCGACGCCGCGUGAGGGAUGACGGCCUUCGGGUUGUAAACCUCUUUCACCAGGGACGAAGCGCAAGUGACGGUACCUGGAGAAGAAGCACCGGCCAACUACGUGCCAGCAGCCGCGGUAGUACGUAGGGUGCGAGCGUUGUCCGGAAUUACUGGGCGUAAAGAGCUCGUAGGUGGUUUGUCGCGUUGUUCGUGAAAACUCACAGCUUAACUGUGGGCGUGCGGGCGAUACGGGCAGACUAGAGUACUGCAGGGGAGACUGGAAUUCCUGGUGUAGCGGUGGAAUGCGCAGAUAUCAGGAGGAACACCGGUGGCGAAGGCGGGUCUCUGGGCAGUAACUGACGCUGAGGAGCGAAAGCGUGGGGAGCGAACAGGAUUAGAUACCCUGGUAGUCCAA